rnacentral:rRNA from 1 species
UAGGGAAUCUUCGGCAAUGGACGAAAGUCUGACCGAGCAACGCCGCGUGAGUGAAGAAGGUUUUCGGAUCGUAAAACUCUGUUGUUAGAGAAGAACAAGGACGUUAGUAACUGAACGUCCCCUGACGGUAUCUAACCAGAAAGCCACGGCUAACUACGUGCCAGCAGCCGCGGUAAUACGUAGGUGGCAAGCGUUGUCCGGAUUUAUUGGGCGUAAAGCGAGCGCAGGCGGUUUCUUAAGUCUGAUGUGAAAGCCCCCGGCUCAACCGGGGAGGGUCAUUGGAAACUGGGAGACUUGAGUGCAGAAGAGGAAAGUAGAAUUCCAUGUGUAGCGGUGAAAUGCGUAGAUAUAUGGAGGAACACCAGUGGCGAAGGCGGCUCUCUGGUCUGUAACUGACGCUGAGGCUCGAAAGCGUGGGGAGCAAACAGG